rnacentral:rRNA from 1 species
GAGUUGUUGCUGGCCUCUAGGGGCAUGUGCACGCUUCACUAGUCUUUCAACCACCUGUGAACUUUUGAUAGAUCUGUGAAGUCGUCUCUCAAGUCGUUAGACUUGGUUUGCUGGGAUGUAAACGUCUCGGUGUGACUACGCAGUCUAUUUACUUAUAACACCCCAAAUGUAUGUCUACGAAUGUCAUUUAAAGGGCCUUGUGCCUAUAAACCAUAAUACAACUUUCAACAACGGAUCUCUUGGCUCUCGCAUCGAUGAAGAACGCAGCGAAAUGCGAUAAGUAAUGUGAAUUGCAGAAUUCAGUGAAUCAUCGAAUCUUUGAACGCACCUUGCGCCCCUUGGUAUUCCGAGGGGCAUGCCUGUUUGAGUGUCAUUAAAUUCUCAAACUCACUCUGGUUUUUCCAAUUGUGAUGUUUGGAUUGUUGGGGGCUGCUGGCCUUGACAGGUCGGCUCCUCUUAAAUGCAUUAGCAGGACUUCUCAUUGCCUCUGCGCAUGAUGUGAUAACUAUCACUCAUCAAUAGCACGCAUGAAUAGAGUUUGGCUCUCUAACCGUCCGCAAGGACAAUUUGACAAUUUGACCUCAAAUCAGGUAGGACUACCCGCUGAACUUAAGCAUAUCAAAC